rnacentral:rRNA from 1 species
AUUGAACGCUGGCGGCAGGCCUAACACAUGCAAGUCGAGCGGAUGAAGGGAGCUUGCUCCUGGAUUCAGCGGCGGACGGGUGAGUAAUGCCUAGGAAUCUGCCUGGUCGUGGGGGAUAACGUCCGUAAACGGGCGCUAAUACCGCAUACGUCCUGAUGGAGAAAGUGGGGGAUCUUCGGACCUCACGCUAUCAGAUGAGCCUAGGUCGGAUUAGCUAGUUGGUGGGGUAAAGGCCUACCAAGGCGACGAUCCGUAACUGGUCUGAGAGGAUGAUCAGUCACACUGGAACUGAGACACGGUCCAGACUCCUACGGGAGGCAGCAGUGGGGAAUAUUGGACAAUGGGCGAAAGCCUGAUGCAGCCAUGCCGCGUGUGUGAAGAAGGUCUUCGGAUUGUAAAGCACUUUAAGUUGGGAGGAAGGGCAGUAAGUUAAUACCUUGCUGUUUUGACGUUACCAACAGAAUAAGCACCGGCUAACUUCGUG